GACGAACCGUGCGAACGUUGUUCGGAAUCACUGGGCUUAAAGGGCGCGUAGGCGGCCCGCGAGGUCGGGGGUGAAAUCCCACGGCUCAACCGUGGAAGGGCCUCCGAUACCGGCGGGCUGGAGGAAGGUAGGGGUGCGCGGAACUUCUGGUGGAGCGGUGAAAUGCGUUGAUAUCACUUGGAACGCCAAAGGUGAAGACAGUCUGCUGGGGAUCUGCUGACGCUGAGACACGAAAGCCAGGGGAGCGAACGGG
rnacentral:rRNA from 1 species